rnacentral:piRNA from 1 species
UCCCAGACAGAAACGGCCUUUUCAGGAAC